AUACAAAAUCAUAAAAAACAACUAAUGUUUUAAUUUUUGAAUGGUUGUCGCACACAAACUUUGGUCAGGGCGUGGGCGACUUCUUUUUAUUUUUUU
rnacentral:antisense_RNA from 4 species